rnacentral:rRNA from 1 species
AUGAAAAAGGCCAGGAGGAACGAGAGCGGCAAGAAGCUUGCGAGCAGAGCAGGAGCAAGGGCCAUCGUGUGGCUUCUGCUUCCUAUCCUCGUCUUCGUCCUGCUCAAUGCCGACUACAUGCCGCAGGUUCCCCGACUUACAGGGACCAGCGUUACCGAAGCUGCGGAGUAUUUUCGACAGUCGACUCACAAGGUUCCGUCUUCAGGUAUAGAGGAUACAAUAUGGCAGCAGCAGGAGCGACUACUACAUGAUGUAGCCAAGUUCAAAGCUGAGCAUGAUUCGGUCGUCGACGCACCACCUUCUCGCGAAUCCAGCCACGAGAUGGCUGGCAAGGUUGUCGGUGCGAACAGAGGUACAGAGAGUGCAAUAUGGAAGCAGCAGAAGCAGCUACUGCGUGAGGUGGCCGAGCUAAGAGCUGCGCACAAAGAACUACUACUUGAGGUAGCCAAGUUGAGAGCUGCGCAUGAUUUGGUCGUACGAGCACUACCUUCUCCCGCAUCAAGCGACGAGACGGCCGGCGAGGCCGUCGAUGCACCACCUUCUCCCCCAUCAAGCGGCGAGAUGGCCGGCGAGGCUGUCGGUGCACAACCUUCUCCCCUAUCAAGCGAUGAGACGCCCGGCGAGGCCGUCCAAGGGCAACCUUCUCCCACAUCAAGCAACGAGACACCCGGCGAGGCCGUCGAAGCACCACCUUCUCCCACAUCAAAUGAAGAGACGCUAGGCAAGGCCAACGAUGCACCACCUUCUCCCGCAUCAAACGACGAGACGCCCGGCGGCACCAUGGAUGCACAACCUUCUCCCCCAUCAAGUGACGAGGCACCCCGCGAGGCCGUCGAAGCACCACCUUCUCCCACAUCAAGCGACGAGACCCCCGGCGACGUCGUCAAUGCGAAGAGAGAUGUGGCAGCACCAAGAAGCAAGUCAACUUGCGAUUUCAGCAGUAAACGCAUGGACAUCUGCGCCAUGGAAGGUGAUGUCCGUGUGCAUGGCAAGGCCGCCACAGUGUACGUGGUCUCAGCGUCCGAUGACAGCUACCGGCCUGAGAACGGGAUGAUGACGAUCCACCCAUACCCGCGCAAGUCGGAGACAGAGACAAUGCAGACUAUCAGAGAGGUGACCAUCCGCUGGAAUGACCCUCCAGGACUGGAUGCGCCACAGUGCACGGCGACGCAUGAUGUCCCUGCGUUGGUCUUCUCCACCGGCGGCUAUCUCAGCAACUUCUUCCACGCCAUGACCGAUGGCAUCAUCCCUCUCUUCAACGCUGUGCGGGAGUACAACGGCCAUGUCCAGCUCGUGGUCACGGACUACAACCAUGAGUGGGUUGACAAGUUCCGAGACAUCCUCGCCGCGCUCUCCAACUACCCGGUCAUCGACUUCGACGCCGAUAACGAGGUACGUUGCUUCCCGUCGGUGCACGUCGGCACCGAGAGCCAUAAGGAGCUAGGAAUCACCCCUGCCCUCUCCCGGAAGGGCUACUCUAUGACGGACUUCCGGGACUUUCUCCGGUCAGUCUACUCUCUAAAGCGUGAGUGGUCAUUCCCUGUAAACCGGGCCUCCGGCGAGAGGCCACGUCUCGCCAUGAUACUACGGCGCAACUCGAGGACGUUCACAAACGAGGCGGAGGCCAUGACAGCAGCCAUGGAGGUCGGCUUCGAGGUGGUGGCGGCAGGGCCGGAGGCCAUGAGCGACAUGGCCCGGCUCGCGGAGGUGAUGAACUCGUGCGACGUGAUGGUGGGCGUGCAUGGGGCUGGGCUCGCCAACAUGGUGUUCCUCCCCCGCAACGCCACGGUGCUGCAGGUCGUCCCGUGGGGCGACCUGAGCUGGGCGUCCUUCAGUGCCUUCGGCGCGCCGACGGCUGACAUGGGGCUCCGGUACGUCAAGUACGAGGCGACCGCCGAGGAGACGACGCUCAAGUACGUGUACCCGAGUGACCACGCCGUCUUCACCGACAUCCCCUCCAUAAGCAGGCAGGGGUACAGUAUGACAUGGCGGAUCUUCCUCAACGGCCAGAACGUCACGCUCGACAUCGACCGCUUCAGAGGGGCGCUCCAGCAAAUCUACCAGAAUACUGUAAUGGCCGAUCCAGUCGUCGAAGCACUACCUCCUCCCGACGAGAUGCCCAGCGAGGUGGUCGACGCGAACAAAGAUCUGAAAAAGGAGGAAAAGGGGUUGCAAGCCAUGAACGGGGGAGUAGAUGGUUCUUUGACAAAACCAGAUGUGACAGCAUCAAGAAGCAAGUCAAGUUGCGACUUCCGCAAUGAACGCAUGGACAUCUGCACCAUGGAAGGCGACGUCCGUAUGCACGGCAAAGCCGCCACCGUGUAUGUGGUCUCGGCAUCCGACGACAGCUAUCGGCCAGAGAACGGGGCGUUGAUGAUCCACCCGUACACACGCAAGUGGGAGCCACAAACCAUGCAGACUGUGCGGGAGGUGAUCGUCCGCUGGAGCGACCCACCGGGACUAGAAGCGCCACCGUGCACGGUGACACACGAUGUCCCCGCGGUGGUCUUCUCCUCCGGCGGCUACCUCGCCAACUUCUUCCACGCCAUGACCGACGGCAUCAUCCCUCUCUUCAACACCGCGCGGGAGUACAACGGCCGCGUCCAGCUCGUGGCCACCGACUACGACCCCAAGUGGAUUGGUAAGUUCCGGAAUAUCCUCGGCGCGCUCUCCAACUACCCGGUCAUCGACUUCGACGCCGACGAUGAGGUGCGUUGCUUCCCGUCGGUGCACAUCGGCACCGAGAGCCAUAAGGAGCUAGGGAUCAUCCCUGCUCUCUCCCGCAAGGGCUACACGAUGACGGACUUCCGGGAGUUUCUCCGGUCGGCCUACUCGCUAAAGCGCGAGUGGUCGACCCCCGUAAACCGGGCCUCGGGCGACAGGCCGCGUCUCGUCAUGGUGCUGCGGCGCAGGUCGAGGGAGUUCGCGAACGAGGCGGAGGCCAUCGCAGCUGCUACGGAGGUUGGCUUCGAGGUGGUCCCUGCGGGGCCGGAGGUCGUGAGCGACAUGGCCCAGUUCGCGGAGGUGGUGAACUCGUGCGACGUGAUAAUGGGCGUGCAUGGCGCAGGGCUCACCAACCUGGUGUUCCUCCCGCGCAAUGGCACGGUGCUGCAGGUCGUCCCGUGGGGCGACAUGAGGUGGGCGUCCUUCAGUGCCUUCGGCGCGCCGACGGCCGACAUGGGGCUCCGGUACGUCGAGUACGAGGCGACCGCCGAGGAGACGACGCUCAAGUACGUAUACCCGAGGGACCACGCCGUCUUCACCGACCCCCGCUCCAUACAGAAGCAGGGGUUCGGUGUGGCUUGGGGGACCUUCUUCAACGGCCAGAACGUCACCCUCGACAUCAACCGCUUCAGAGGGGUCUUGCAGCAAAUCUACCAUGAUAGUGUGUUGCCCGAUCCUUCGCUUGAUUCAGCUCCGGUCGUGGAAGCACCACCUUCUCCUGCAUCAAGCGACAUCGUCGAUGUGAACAGAGAUCUCGGGAAUGAGAAGGGGCUCCAAGCCAUGAACGGGGGAGGAGAUGGUUCUUUGAUAAAAUCAGAUGUGGCGGCACCAAGAAGCAAGUCAAGUUGCGACUUUCGCAGUGAGCGCAUGGACACUUGCGCCAUGGAAGGCGACGUCCGUAUGCACGGCAAAGCCGCCAGUGUGUAUGUGGUCUCAGCUUCCGAUGACAGUUACCGACCUGAGAGUGGGACGGUGACGAUCCACCCGUACACGCGCAAGUGGGAGCCACAGACUAUGCAGACUGUUCGGGAGGUGACCAUCCGAUGGAGCGCCCCGCCGGGGCCGGAUCCGCCAGGGUGCACGGUGACGCACGACGUCCCCGCGGUGAUUUUCUCCUCCGGUGGCUACCUCGCCAACUUCUUCCACGCCAUGACCGACGGCAUCAUCCCUCUUUUCAACACUGCGCGGGAGUACGAAGGCCGCGUCCAGCUCGUGGCCACCGACUACGACUCGAAAUGGCUUGGCAAGUUCAAGGAUAUCCUCGCCGCACUCUCCAUCUACCCCGUCAUCGACUUCGACGCUGACGACGAGGUCCGUUGCUUCCCGUCGGUGCGCGUCGGCACUGAGAGCCAUAAAGAACUAGGGAUCAUCCCAGCUCUGUCCCGCAAGGGCUACACGAUGACUAACUUCCGAGACUUUCUCCGGUCAGCCUACUCGUUGAAGCGUGAGUGGGCGACCCCCGUAAACAUAACCUCCGGCGGCAGGCCUCGUCUCGUCAUGGUGUCGCGGCGCAGGUCGAGGGAGAUCGCCAACGAGCCGGAGGCCAUCGGAACUGCCACGGAGGUCGGUUUCGAGGUGGUAUCCGCGGGGCCGGAGGUCGUGAGCGACAUGGCCCGGUUCGCGGAGGUGGUGAACUCAUGCGACGUGAUAUUGGGUGUGCAUGGCGCAGGGCUCACCAACCUGGUGUUCCUCCCGCGCAACGGCACGGUGAUGCAGAUCGUCCCGUGGGGCGACAUGAGGUGGGCGUCCUUUAGUGCCUUCGGAGCGCCGACGGCUGACAUGGGGCUCCGGUACGUCGAGUACGAGGCCACCGCCGAGGAGACGACCCUCAAGUACAUAUACCCAAGGAACCACACCGUUUUCACCGACCCCCGCUCCAUACAAAGGCAGGGUUUCGGUGUGGCUUGGGAGACUUUCUUCAACGGCCAGAACGUCACCCUCGACAUUGACCGCUUCAGAGGGGUGAUGCAGCAAAUCUACCAGUCUGCUACCAUUACAUAG